GUGUUUGUAAAAGGGAGAGAUGUUGGCAUCUCCCCUGACAGGGACGGCAACAGCCUUCCGGCUUACUAGUUACCACACAUUCGGUUAAGGCUUCCCAAAUUCUAUGGUGGAUCUUAUGCCCAAUUUUUU